CGGGGUGAGUAACGCGUGGGUAACCGUGCCUUGUACUGGGGGACGAACAGUUGGAAACGACUGCUAAUACCGCAUAAGCGCACAGCUUCGCAUGAAGCAGUGCGAAAAACUCCGGUGGUACAAGAUGGACCCGCGUCUGAUUAGCUGGUUGGUGAGGUAACGGCCCACCAAGGCGACGAUCAGUAGCCGGCCUGAGAGGGUGAACGGCCACAUUGGGACUGAGACACGGCCCAA
rnacentral:rRNA from 1 species